UUUCGUCAACGAGUGUUUAAUGUAAUGAUGAUAAAUAAAGUGAUGUGCACCAUCAUGUGUAACCCCGACCUAUACUAGUUCAAAUGAGAAUAAAAGACAAAGAAAGUUCUUGUCACAAGGACAGUGCUGGUAAUUGUUAAAUUCAUGCCAUAUUUAGAUUUUCAUCCCUACUACAAUUUGAGUGAUAUGCAUUAUCUACCUAUUUAUGAAGUGAAGUCCUAUGAGCCUAACAUAAUUAAUGGUUGAAAGCUUGGUUUGAAUUGAAUUAUUAGCAAAUAAGGAGUAAGGAAUAAUUGCAAAUUAUCUCUUCGGUGUCUAGGCAUAUGAAUUGUGUGACCUUAUCGUUUGCAAUGAUUCUAGAUUGUACAUAUACAUUUUUCUAAUUGUUGAGCGACAUAUGAAGCAACAUAUGCUUAAACAUAUAGUGACCGACCACUGGUCUCGGUGUAAAUCUCAGUAGCAGCUUUAUAUUGAAGGGAGUGAGAUGAUGAUGACUUCGUGUUGAACUUUGUAGUUAUUUAAAUGGUUUAUUUAAUGGACCGGUUGAUCAUAUUAGAAAAUAUGGGCUUGCGCCGUAUCAAGUUCUUGGAAAUGGACAAGAUGAAGGGAUGAUUGAAUUUAUUCCUUCUAUUUCUCCUGCACAUGUAACUUGAGAUUGAAGAUGGUAGCAUUACAAGUUACUUACAGAAGUUCCAUUAGACUAAUAUGGUCCACCUGGUAUAGCUACCCAAUGGUCGGAAGCUUUUAUUAAAAUUAGUGUUGGUCACACUAAAAUUACAUAUAUUAUGGGUGUUGGAGGUAGGAUGUUUUUUAAAACUUCAAUCCUCCAUUAUUCAUUCAUAAGAAUCAUCGCAUCGUGUACAACCAUGGGGACAAUUUCCUCAGGGGUAGGCUGUAAGAAAAGAUUAGGACGGGAAAAUAUAUCGAGUCUAGCCAAUUCAUGUAAAAAGAUGGUCGGUUUCCAUAUAACAGUGUUCAUAAAUUAUAUGAGUUAAAGUCUAAGGGCGUAAAAUAUCAGCCAUCAAAAAUAGCACUUUUAAUGAACGACAAGCUCCCAUCUAUCAUGGUAGUGAUCACUUCUAUAUUAUCCUCGUUGAUCUCAAGUUUAUUGCAUCCGCUCAUAUGUGCCAGAUUUAGACCAAACCUCAAGGAUAGGGCCUCUAUUGUAAAAGCAUUGUAGCUGGAAUCAACCUUCUCAUUUGUAUCUGCAAUGAAUUUCACAUUGUUACCCUUUAUCACCGCUCCAACAACAUCCUGAUAUGAGUCAAGGAUCAAACGAUGCAUCUAUGUUGAGUUUCGCAUGGUCUCUUCGGGAUAGAGUCUGCUUCACAUUUUAUGCAACUCUAGAAAUUAUGAUAGCUAUAUAACCUUUAAAAUGUUCGCCAAAUUUGUGAAUGCUUUUUUUUGGGUUGUUGUAUACUUAGCAAUCUUCAACCAUCAAUCAUGUACUGCUUCAUGUAUGAGAUUAUUCAUGUUUUCUUUGAGGAAAUGAGACUAAUCAUGUUGCUUUAGAGAAAAACUUAUGAAUACAAAUAAAUAAAACAAGCGGUAUCUUGGCUGUCGAAGCAGGUUAAAUGACUAAAAUUCUAGUACCAUUCACUUUCUAUUGAUCGCCAUGUACUUCAGCAUCACACCAAUAGAUCAACGCACAUGCAUUAGCGUUGAGCAUCGCCAGCGCUAGGGCAUCGGUGAGGAAUCAUCCAGCAGCGCCAUGCCGAAUAGACGCGGCCUUUCUGCUCUACCUUCUCUUCUUCCUCCCCUUCACUUAUUUCCCUUAUCACUUCUCUUCUUUCUCCUCUCCCUUCUCCCCAUCAUCUCCCUAUAUCCCCUCCUCUCUCCCUCUCUCCUCGUACUUUUUCCUCCUCCCCCUUAUACUCCCCCCCCCCCCCCUCCUUCGCUCUCCAUUCUCUUGUUCCUUCACUUCUUUCUCCUCUCUCUCACUGUCGGAUCUUAGAGAUGAACUAGGAUCCCUCAUGCAAUCUCACACCAGUCGAGGGCGCGCGAGACUUUAUCAUUUUCUUGCCUUGAAAGUAAUAUAUACCAUAAAGAUCCAUAAACUAACAACAGUGGUACAAUUCAAAGUGUGAGGAUAGAGCAAACUUGUAACUUCUCCUAUUUGUUAUUAUUCAACUUGAUACCUUAUAACAUUUGCUAUACCGUAUAUGAUAGUUUAUUGAUUGAUGACAUGAACAAUUUUACCAUCAAAAUAAUACUGUAUUAUGAAUUGAUGACAUGCAUAUCAUAUCAGAGAGCCCUUGCAUAACAAGAGGGUUAAUUAACCGUAAUUAUCUGCUCGCAAAUUCUGCUACAUGCAACAUGUUGAAUUUUGACUUCUCACUACACCCAUGAUCCCAGCUUAAAAUAACAAUUUCCCGAUAUGUGUUUCAGGUAUUUCAUUGUAAUUGACGACGACUAUGCAAACAGAUCACUCGAGUAGCAUGGAAUGUGCAAGUAGCAGGG
rnacentral:lncRNA from 1 species